UAAUAAUGGUGAAAUUGGAAAUGGGUUUGUGGCUGAUGGGUCUUCUUCGGUUUGGCGAGAGUUAAAGUUGGAACCUUUUGUUGGCAGAGACCGUAAUAGUAAUACCCAUGAGGUUAAUUCUGAUGAUGGUGGAAAUGGGUCUAUUCCUGAGAGAUCAUUGGUUGGGAUUAACAAAGAAAAAUGUGGUCUUUCACCUGGGGUUGCAGUUAUGGCUAGGACACACAUGCCUGUGACAAAAGGGUUUAUGUUGAAUUUGAGAUGGGGUUUGAAUUUUCCUGGGAAUUCGGGGCUGAAAAUGCCCUAUUUGACUGUGAACAAGAUUGGGUUAGAGAGGGUUUCUGAGGAAGUGAAACAGAAUGUGGAUAAGCAGAGAUUGGACGCUUCUGGCACCGAUUUGCAGCUGCUCAAGGGUAUGUGUUCUUGGAUGAAAAGAGAUUUGGAGAUUGUGGAAAAGGAAAAUAGGGAGAUGAAACGAGUAUUGGAGGAUAUGAAAAUGGGAGUUUCAACCAGGAAUCACAGUCAUGAGGGAAGGAAAUUAUCUCAGCAUUCGGGUGAAAGCUCUAGCAAGUUUGAGCAUUGGAGAAGCAAUAAGAGUGGCAGAGAAGAGAAUGAACAUAGACAGCAUAAAGGUGAAUGCUCUAGCGAGUUUGAUAGUUGGAGAAGCAAGAAGAGUGGCAGAGAAGAGAAUGGGCAAAAACAACCAAACAAGUCCCAAAUUCUAGCAAGUGAUGUGGAAUCUGAAUUGCAGAAAGCCAUAAUGGCUGCUUCUUCUUAGCAUUACCAAGGUCAUUUACACUUUUAAGUUUUAAUGCUUUCUAAGUUUGUCUUCCUCGCAAUGUAUAUAGAAAUGUGAGCUAUGUUUCCUAUUUGCUUUUAACGACAAGUGGUCGAUUAUAAUCAAGAUCAUUUGUGUGUAUAAUAAAGGAAAAGAGGAAUGUUGUUACUUUUGUAAUUAUAGUUUGCACUGACUUUAAGUGCAGCGUUCUGUAUUUUUGCAUCUGGAUAAAUAUUUAACUGUCUGCAAUUAGGUGACAAUGAUUGGCAGAGACAUCUGUACUUCUUCCAUAUCCAAUCCAAUGCAAUUAGAUGUUUGAAUCACCUAUUUUCGGGUUUUUUAUUUCAAUGAAGAAUUUGGUAGAAGUAAAUUAUGUUAUUGCACUUCAUAAUUGUUAUGUUGGCAUUAGUCUUUAUUGAGCAAUUCUUACUAGUAAUAAAGAGCUUGGCAAUUACUAGUAGUCUAAAAUUUUAACAACCAUAAUAUUAAACCCGACUCUUGUGUGAUUUGUGCUAUUUCCUCACCCUUUCAGUGUCUGUCUAGCACUUGGGCUUCUAAAUCCCCUACCAUUUUCUCAUUUUCUAUCCCAUUUCUCCAUGCCUCUGAAAAUGCAUGUGAAUUCCAUUUUCUUCAAGCUGGACGCUUGAAAAACUUGUUUGCGUCUUGAAUUGAUAAUGUAUUUCCCUAUAUACCCCUAUACAUAUUUAAGUCGCACGCCACAAGAUGCCUUUUGUUUUUGUAAAAAUAGGAGGGUGAUAGGAGCUGAGUCAGAUGAGUAGGGACAAUUAAGAAUUAAUAGGAUUUUUUGUCGAAAUGCACUUUCCUUCCUGAUUCUGAAUCAGAGUGAUUGCAGAUUCAAAAGGAUAGGUACAAACAGGAGUGUCCAUAAUAGGAACUUCUCCCAAAAGAAUUGUGGCUCUACCUCCCAAUUUUACUCCAAACCACUUCGAUCUCCUUUCUUCUUCAUAGUCAGAAACGGUUCCUCUAAAGUGAGUUUGAUUGUAAAGUAAGUUUGUACGCCCUUGAUUGGUUAAAGUGUAUUGGAAUUUUAGCACACUAGCUAACUAAGAGCGAACACCCCUUUACUUGCUCACUUUAGAGGAGAGCCUUAUCCUUCAUAGUUAUACCCUCUUAGUCUUACUCCUUCCUAUACACUUGGAGUUUCUAAUUAAAUGACACUCCAAUUGUAAUAUGACAACCAACUAAUUCCUGCCUCCGUUAUGACAGCUGUUAACAACAUCAACUGUUUUCAGUUCUAAUCCCCUAUUGCCCAUCAUUUUCUUCUCAUUCCGAAUCAGUUUUACUGAGUUCUCGCUCCUUAUUUUGUUUCUCGCAUUUUGGAAUUUUCAGUUUUGGAAUUUUCAGUUUUGUAAUAUCUGUUCAGGAAGCUGUUGGUAGAACUGUUAAUGUGCUUUUAAUAGGGAUUACACUCCAUCCCACUAGUUAUAUUCUUCCAAACCGUAAUUUGUAUGUAUCAAUCAAUAAAUUGUCACAAUGCAUCUUUCACAAAAUUCCGUCGCAUCCCUGGUCUAGCUCUGUAUAUUCAUGGAUGAUUCUUAGAAAUUUUAUUUACAAAGUUACUUUGCGUUCACUUAUCCAAAACGAGUGAGAGAAGUAUGAUGCUGAGGCUAUGAUGAAGAUAUACCUGUGCCAGAGGCGAGCCUAUGUUGAGCUCGUCAUUCAUCGUCUCAUCAUUUUCGUUCUUUAUUUUACUGUUGUUUAUUUUUUUUAAACCAUUAAUGUAGCGCCGAGCAUGGUUAAAUAGCAGUAGGGCUUUAUUCAAAAAGGAAACGGCGAGGUGAUGUUAACAAUUCAUAUGUCUGUCAAUAAUUUCUUUUCAGUAGCUUAUUUUAUUCUCUUUUCCUUAUUCCUUUUCAAUAAUUAUAGUUGAGUUUUUUAAGGUAAAAUGCUUGAUGUUGGAUUAUUGUCGCUUGUAUGGAAAAGAAUAAUGAUAUUUUUAACUUAUGUGGUCGUUUUUAUGUCCAUUUAAUGUUUACAAGUAGCAUUAUUUUACCAGAAUUGAGCCUUGAACUGAAAUUUUUAUCGUUCCGGUUAUAGAUAAUUGUAUAUUCAACACCAAAGCAAUGAAUUUAUGUCUGGAAUAAGUUUCUAUUAUGAUCCUCUUGCAACACAUAACAUCAGGCGUUGACAAACCUACAAUUCCUCCUAAUUUCUCCUUCAUUUCCUGUUAGUACAUUAAUAUUUCCCAUCUUAAUCAUAGAUUUAGCAAAUGAAGCAAAGAAAACUUUUUGAUUGGAGGCAUAAGCCCACACCUGUUUUGUGAUUGUUCCAUCAAAAUCCUGGCUGGUCAAUACAUUAUCAGAACCUAACAAUCCCUUUCCUUCCAGUAUGUUUAUAAAGUAGUGGUUAUCAAACCUCUUUGGGGUUUCAAAAUCCAAUGGUGCAAACUUGUUAUCCCUUCCACUAACAGGGCAUAUGGACUGUAGGAUUCUUCUGAAGGUUGUGUAUCUCUUGUAGCGAUCAUAGCCAUAGUGAUAUUCUUGUUUCGGUUCAUAGAUCCGCUGUCUGAAGCUUAGACAUCUUGCUCUUCCAAUGGUAUGGCUACCUGUUUUUUUGUCAAGUAGCAACUCUAUUUCAUUAGGGGCUUCAUCUUCUUUUUUUUGUCUUGUGCAUUGAAUCGACAAUUCUAUAUACACCUAAAAACCAUUGCUCACGGGCAGAUGAAUGAUUCACUUGUGAUGAUGAAUGAUUCAUUGAUCCUGGCAUGAGCAACGACUUGGGUGUUAAUAGAAUUGUCCUUUUUGAAUCAAUACAUGAUAAUUAAUAAAUAUAUACCGGAUAGUGCGACCAUGUCUUCUAUUUCUAGGCCAUGUUGCUUAAAGUUGUCAAUGAGAACCUCUAAGGAGGAAUUUGGUGCAGGAAUGAACUGGUUAGCUCCACUGAAGCUUGACAUGAGGGAGUCUUUCCUCCCCAGCCACACAUCCCAUCCUGGUCCCCCUCUCUUCUCAACAAACAAUACCAAUUCAACAAUGAGAUAUAGUUAUGUAUUCUAUGUGUAAUAUAUUAUACAGUAAAAACAUAACAUAGGUCUGCAGAAUAUAAUUCUACAUGUAAAAUUAAAAACAUGGGAAUGUUAUUGAUUUUUUAUUUUAUUAUCAUGAGUCAUGACCCUCUACCCAAUGUAUGGAAUCCAAUUCAACAAGAUGUUAGAGAUGGUGCAAGUAGAAAGAGAAAAACAUAGGUGUGUAUUGUACCAGUUCAACUGCAUCACGAGCAGCCAUGGCAAGGAUAUCAGCACAUGAAACUGUGACAGGACACUCCUCUUCCAACAAAUACUUUAUCUUGUCAAUGACCUCAAAUCCACGUAAAGAGUUCAGAUUUGGUCCUGCUUCCUUUUCACUCUGCAUGCCCUCAACACUAUCCAAUAGUACUGAUGCGUCGCAACCCUUAUGUUCAACAAUACAAGACAUAAUAAAUAUAUAAUUGUUGUUUUGAAAUUCUACCCAUUUCAUAAAUCACUUAAUUUAUCUAUUUGCACAAUAGCAUAACACAGGAAGAAUGGUAUUGUUACCAUGACAAAGCAGUCGUGAAAGUGUAAGCGAAGUAGCGAGGCCGCCAAACCAGGAUCUUUGUAAAGUGCUACCUCUACGUUAUGUCUCACAUUACUGUGGAUUGGUAAAGAAAAGUUCUGCAUGAGACCACUUACAAAAAAAAGAGACAACAUAAACUACCAUUUAAGAAACUUACAAAAUACAGUUAAGGGUGCCAACAAUUCUGCAGUAGUAAUACUACAUGGGAAGAUUCGUUGCCUUGAUCAGAGGAAUUAACAAGCAAAACAUAAAUGUUAGAUACAUAGAAUCAAAUUUUAAAGAGUCCAACUAGGAAUAUGCUAAAAUAGAAUGAACAUUCCGAUUCGAAAGUUUGGCUCUGUUAGCCAUUCAUUUGAUUCCAUCAAGUUCCACCAUUGGUGUUCAUCAUCUGGCACAAACGAUAGACCUGUUUUGUCUGUUUUUCAUUCAUCAAGUAGUCUCACAUUAAUGAAAACCAAUUUGACUUUAGGUUGGAAAGGUCAACCAUGGAAGCUAUCAAAAGACCAAAGAGACAUACACAUGACUUUCAUUUAUUCAGAAAAAGGCAUAUGAUGAAGUCCAUAUAGAUUUCUUGAUGUUAUAGAGAAAAGUUUGGAUUGUCUGCAUUCAGAAGAUUAAAAGUCAAUAUUGAACCCCUAUUUACUAAGCUUAUAUAAUGUAUGUUUUCUACAAAUAAUAUUGUCAUUUUAUAAGUGGAAGUUGAAGUAAUAGAGGAAAGAGAAAAGUUUGAGAGAUACACUUAGAUUAAUUUGAAGCCUUCAUUUUCUCUUAAUUAUAUCCUAAACUUGAGUCUAAAAUAACAUUCUCCUAAAACUCAACUGGGGUGAGGCGCAUGUCUUAUCUACUAGGCAGGGAAAGACAUGAAAUUGUCAAAGUUGGAGCCACCUCCCAAUAAUUUGGCCACACGUCAAGUCCUACGUUGCCUUUCAUUACUAAGCCGUUAAAAAGUACUCAUCCAUGUGUUUAUAUUUGUAUGGUAGGUCGGUUAUGUGGCUCCGAAUCUAAUGGUUCAUUGGUCUUCACCAUUCCUUCUACUCCCAACACCUAAUGCUACAAUCCCAUACCCCAUAGCAUAGCCAUUCAUUCAUUCAAACAACAUGAAGCUAUCACUCAAGUUUAACCAUGGAGAUGAAGAUAGUACUCAAAUUAUGUCUGCAAAGGUACCCAUUUCCAUAUUCAACUACCCUUUCAUUUCUGCCAUCACAUCCACUACCACAACUACUAAUUCUCCUUCUGAUUUCUCUUUCUCACUUUCCACCAAUUUCCCUUCUGCUCCUUCCUUCAAGCUCUCUUACUCUCCUACCUCAACCUCCUCUCUCCCUUUCUCUCUUUCCCUUAAAUCUGGUUUAGGUUUAUUUGGAUCCCCUCGCCAAUCCCCUCUUCUCUUCUCUGUUAAUUUCUCUCUUUCACCUUCUUCCUACAAUCCCGUUCCCACUUUCUCUCUCCAUUUCAAACCCCAAUUUGGUCACUUUUCUCUUAAUAAAACUGUUUUAUCAAACCCCGACACUCUCCCAGACCCAAAAUCGUUUCCUAUUGAUAAUAAUAAUAAUAAUGGUGAAAUUGGAAAUGGGUUUGUGGCUGAUGGGUCUUCUUCGGUUUGGCGAGAGUUAAAGUUGGAACCUUUUGUUGGCAGAGACCGUAAUAGUAAUACCCAUGAGGUUAAUUCUGAUGAUGGUGGAAAUGGGUCUAUUCCUGAGAGAUCAUUGGUUGGGAUUAACAAAGAAAAAUGUGGUCUUUCACCUGGGGUUGCAGUUAUGGCUAGGACACACAUGCCUGUGACAAAAGGGUUUAUGUUGAAUUUGAGAUGGGGUUUGAAUUUUCC
rnacentral:lncRNA from 1 species